UCGUCCUCUCCCUGAUCUCCUGUCAGCCGAUUCUGACUGGGAGCUGAGAAAAUACAUAUAACCUAGUAGUAUUAAUGAUUUGAAAAUCACACUCGUAACAAUGGGAGACUGCUUCAGGAAGUACAGCUGAUGAACUUGACAUGUUCAUGAACCCCAAAUAAUCCCAAAUGUUCUUGCAGAAGCCCUGGUUACAUGUAUCCCAGGGACGGCUGUUGCUAGGCAACCAAUGACAUUACCACAGCAACAUCAGCAUAAUCAGAUGACAGAAAGAAAAUGUGGAAAGGUCGUGUGCUGUGCUGGAGGAGAAGACGGAAGAGGAGGGGGAGGAGACCAGAACAGCAUGGUGAGUAAGAAAGAAAGGCGGUUGAGAGAAGGUAUUGGAUGCUAGAUGAUUGUGUGUUGUGCGUGUGCGCACGUAUGUUUGGGUGAACUAUCAUUUUAAAGGGAAAAAGAAAAUUCUGUCAUGAAUUACCCCCCAUGCUGAACACAAAGAAAGAUAUUUGGAAGAAUGUUAGCAACUGACAUUUCUGGGAUAUCAUUGACAGUGAUAUAUGGGAGUCAAAGGUGGCCUAUAACAGUUUGCUUUCCUAUAUUCUUCCAACCUCAUUUUUGGAUAUUACUAUCUUCUUUACGGUAUAAAAACGUACAUACUUAUACUUAUGUAUUUGUCUACCAUUGAUUUGCACACAAUUGUAAGCAAUAUAUGUUAUGUGAGUCUCUAACGUUACAAACAAACCUUACCCUGUUUGUUCAACAUUUUCUGUAUUCAUUUGGCUGUACUGAUAACAAUCAAAAACACAUUAUGAAAAUUCCAUUGUACAUACUUUAUUAUUAAAGCAACAUCUGGUUUAAAAAUCAGUUUUAAAACGCAUAACAGAAUGUGUUAUUACAUGCUGUCCGUAAACUUUCUUCCAAGUGGGAAACCUAAAAAAUCGUUCCUAGUGGUGAAGCUUUCGGUUGUUUCUAUCGUGUGUCUUAGUAACAUAUUACACAAGAAGAACGUACCAUUGUAUCUCUAAAAUAAAGUGAAAUUGAAUGAAGAAGGGUUGAUAUCUCAAGAUUCUUUCACCCAAAAAUGAAAAUUCUGUCAUCAAUUACUCACCUUCGAGUUGUUCCAAAUCUGUAUAAAUGUAUUUGUUCUGAUGAACACAGAGAAAGAUAUUUGGAAGAAUGCUUAUAACCAGACAGAUUUUGCCCCCCAUUGACUACCAAAGUAGGAAAAAAUACAAUGGUAGUCAAAAGUGCCCCAGAACAGUUUGCUGUCCAAAAUGUCUUCUUUUGUGUUCAAGUAAUUUUUCCAACUAUGGGAGUCAAAAUCUUUCCGGCUAUAAGCAGGGGUUAAAUUGGACCGGGGCCGUCCGGACCACAGUUUAAGUUUAAGUUACAAUUUACCUCAGUGUAUACACUUACAAUGUAUACACUGAAGUAUUCAUCUCGAAAAAACGAAUCUAUAUGCAACACAGUAACCCAACUCACAGUCGUACAUUAACCGCGUGCGCGCAGAAAUCAUUCCCUGCAUUCCAUUCCGAAGUGAUCAUUCCUGUGCCCUACUCUCUGUGUAAGCUCUGAAAGGAAAAACGCAAUUGUCCGUUUAACAUUCACUGGGCAAAAGGAGCAAUAAAAACUAUUUUGACUAAGUGGCAUUUUGUAUAGUGUCUCCUACCCGAAUGGCCCUUCGGAGGGAGAUAUUCUGUUUGGAACGCUCCGCGUUUGUGAUUCCUUUCUGCAGCAAAUCUGACAUGAUGCGCGGUACCGCUUCUCGUCCGGUGCGCUCUGUUGUUUUAACGUUUCAAGUUAUAAUGCGCUGUUUGUGAAGAAAGGCUCGAUUUCCAAAUUUUGUAAUUUUUAUCAAAUUCAAGCAUUUAAAGCGGUUUGUUUAUGGUUUGUGCGGCAGCAACGAUGCACAAGUUAAUGGGUCAUCUCAGUCAUUGUGAAUGUAGUUUUGACAGAAAAGUAGCCUAUUGUAAAUACAAAGGUCAUACAUACAAUUCUAUGGACAAUAAUAAACUAAUUUGAUAUUGACACAAGGAAAGGGCACAGGCCUACAGAAAGAUUUUAUUUUUACAUGUAGCUUUGUAAACUGCUGGCAUCUAGAAUGAGUUUGAUCAGAAUUUUAUUGUUCAUAGCAAAGGGCUCUCUCAACUUUUAUUUUACAGUUUGUCAAAAAAUAAGAUUAUAAUCUUCAUAUACGCACCCUUCAAAAUCCCCCACAGAGCCCCCAGCACAUAACAAAUCCCAAUUUAACCCCUGAUUAUAAGCAUUCUUCCAAAUAUCUUUCUCUGUGUUCAUCAGAACAAAGACAUUUAUACAGAUUUGAAACAACACGAAGGUGAGUAAAUGAUGACAGAAUUUUCAUUUUUGGGUGAAAUAUCCCUUUAAUGCGUAUGCUUAUGUGUGUGUGAAGCAUACAUUUAUAGCAUGACUAACAGAUGUGGCGGAGAGGCAGUGAUGUCAUUCAGCUAUUUAUAGACUCUCUAACAUGCAAAAAAUGUCCCUUCAUCCAAAUCUCGAAUCACCUUAUAUAAAGCUUUUACAUUGUACCCAGACUGCAUGUGCAUACAAUAAUUGUCUUAGAAGCAGGCUGAUGGUAACACACAUGCACACUACUGAUGACAAAAUCUGCUGAUCCGAUAUAUUGUGUGUGUUUGUCUGUGUGAAUUUGUCUACGUGUUACAAAGAGCGAGAACAGCAAAAGCGGGAGAAUGAUGAUAUGUGUCUGAAAUCUAGCCACAGCAGUUUUUCAAACUAAUGAGGAAGAUGUGACAUUAUCGUGUGUGUGUUUGUGUACAUUCAUCUAUUGAGAAUUUAAUCCUAAUAACAAGCUUCAUCAUAAGUAAUGAUAGUUCAGGGUUAGCAACCCAGCUGUUUGUGCUACCUACGGUAUGUUCAUGUGUGUGUUUGCAAUGCAUACACCCCUACACGAUUCAUUGUGCCCAGGGCUGGGCAGUAUUUAUGAUACAUGUAUUUAAAAUACAAAACAGUAUUUUGUCAUUUGUAUUUGAUUGGGUCGAUGAAAAUGGCUUCAUAUUUUGUAUCUAAAUACUUCAGUGUUUGUAUUUUUGUAGUUUCAAAAUACUGCAAAAUACGUUGUAAGAAGUCUACGUGAUGACAUCAUAAAAAUGCGGCCUCUGAUUGGUGCCUACUCUGUAGUUUGCCCGGACUUGUUGUUGAGGGCGGAACAGAACAUUGGAAGAAGGUGGUCAAGGUAAGAAACGUGCAGGCUGUAAGAUUUCCAUCUGUCUAUUGCAUAAAUUGCUUCAAAAGAGUUUAUGUUAAGUUUUGUUCUUCGUGUUAGUAGCCUAGGCUAAAUACUAGUAUACGGUAAGGCAUCAGCUAGAUAGCUAAAGAGACUCUGCAAUGUAGUCCACAGGCUACACACACACAAUCACAAAUUUACUCUCUUACCCACAUUCACACAUGAGUUUAACUGUUUCUGUUAGACCUUUGUUAAGUGUUUUGGAAUACCUGCUCUCUUGUAUUCUCUGUUGUAUGGUUGGAAUUGGAUUAAUACUCCUUGAGAAGUUCUGUUGAUACUUAUUGAUUAUAUUUUUGGCUACUUUUAAACAUUUUAAAUAUAACUUUUGCUACAAUGUUUGCUUUCAGCUACCAAUGAUAUUAUUGAAUGACUAUAAUGUUUGUCAUUGAGUCAGUGUUGCUGAUGCACAGAAGGCCCUUUGUUACCAAACACCAAGUAACUAAAUUAGGAUACAAUUACAAGUCAGUUGCAAACUGUAAAACAUUAAACUGUUGGUAACUUUAAAACUAACCUUCAUCUGGGAGACCACAGCCACGCAUAUGUGAAUAUUUGAUCUGUUAACUGAUUGCAUAUGUCAGAUUUAUUGCAUGACUUGGGCAGAGAAAAGCUGUUGCUAUCAAACAUUGUUUACUUAAUCCACAGAAUCCGUGUAAUGGUGAAGGGAUAGAUCAAAUAGGCCAAUUGAUGGAGGGUUUGUGAAGAAAUUUCAUGCUCCCUUGUAAAAGUAUUUUGUAGUAUUUUUAAAAUACAGUCGUUUAUUUUGAUACAUGGUGUGGCCGCUGUAUUUUGUAGUUUAUUUUGAUACACUUAAAAGUAAGGUAUUUGGUAUUUUAUUUAAAAAAACAUUUUGAUGUAUUUUUGCCCAGCCCUGAUUGUGCCCACAUACAUUUCAGUUAGCGCUAAGUGCUAGCCUAGUGCUAAUAAACUCUGAGGACCCACACCUGGAGAAGAGGCAUGAAAUAUCUAUUUCCAUGCAGACUAAGACACAAAACAAGGACUGCACAUAUAUACAGUUAAUUCCAGACGGCUAUAUACAGUAAAUUAAGAAAACUAUUGAGAUAACUGUGUAAAUUUUGUGACAGAAUAGCAUAUGCAACAUUCCCCUGGGGCUAGUUGUCACAAAAUGUUUUAUAUGUAGGCUAUUCUCUGCAAGUUCAUUUUUGUAUUUUUAACGAAGGUCAUUAUAUAGGUUAUGAGAAAAAAACAGGUAUGUGUUUUUACCACACAAAGGCCUUGUGGAUUAGGAGUCAUACAUUUAACACUGAAUCCCGACGCACAAGGAAGACGGUGAGCUACACUUAAUCUCAACUUGAUUGCUUGUUUUAAAACCCUUGGCCCAAAACCUCUCUCAUCCCUCCAACCUCUUCUUUAUUCCUGCUCUUUCAUCUCUCCUUAAUCCCGGUCUAUUCCUAUUUUGUCCUUUAUUCCUUUCACAGAAGUCAUUACGCAACGAGGACGCAUGGCAUGCGGUCACAUUAAUCUGGAGGGGGGGUGACGUCUGUAUGUGUUGCAGAGACCUCUGUUCUCUUAAUACUCCAAUACUCCCUGUCUCCUUCAUUUAUCUGUGUAAUUCACAUUCUUCUGUUCGCGGCGUGUGAUGCUGUGAACUUUACUGAGGUUGUUUCCUCCUCCGCAUCCCCAUUAAGACUCUCAACCCUGCAAGGUCGUUUCCAAGGACACCGUGCUCUUACUGUUUGGCCUCCUGAUUGGCUAUCUGCCUCUUAAAGAGGAAGUGCCCAGUAAGCACAUGUCGUUCUGAAUCGAGCGGCGUAACCUCACGCUCACGCAGCCAUCACAGCAAACUGCAGAGUCAGCAGUCACAGCGUCACAAAAUCUGAGCUCUUCAAUUACUUAAGAUGCGCCCUUUAAAAAAUACAUCCCUUUUGAGAGAGAAUGUUCAUUUCCCAGUCUAAGUAGCACAAGCCCACGUUCAUCUCUUAAAGUUAAUCUAAGAAUACUAAUCACAAUUCUUCUUUUAGUUUAUGGAUGAGGCAACUAAUUUGAGGAAACUUCUGCAUUCAUUAGAUUCCUUAUUUUGUCCUUCUGACAGUGAGCGUGACCUAAACAGAGUUCUGACCUAGUUUAGGCACAGAAGUGAAUGAUGGAUUUUUAGACUGUAAAUGUUUGACCUUUAACAGAUAUUUGAUCUUACUUAGUUUUAUUCUGAUCUCAUGUCCUCCACAUGUUUCUGCCUCUCCAACCUCCUCCUGUAUUGCCUCUCUAUGUGUGCUUACUCUCAUCCAAAUUGAUUCCUUUUCUCUUUCCUGACAACACUGAUCAUUUCACAGAAUAUGUUCAUUUUAUAUUUUAAAGCUGUUAAUGAAGAAGUAGGUUUAGAUCAUGCUACCCUAAAACAUAAUGCAAUUGUCAGAGAUUAAAAUGAGGGUUUCUUUGACUCUUGCCUCCAUCUUUUCCUCAUUUCCCCCUGUUCUGAGUCAGCAAAAUGACUAAGAGAUGAUCACCUGACCGCUGUUGCUGUGGAGACGGAGAUUUUUUUCCCUCUCUCUGCAGCAAGGGGGGUACUGGAAAAGGUUAAAGAAGGAUAGAGCAUGGUGUUAGCCAUUUUGUUUUUUUAAUUUUUUUGAAAAAACUUUAUUUGUUAUACUGUGUAGGCCAAAGACUACACAGCAUGGUUUUGCUAUUGGGGACUUUAUUUGGUACACAAUUUAUUAACCUAUAAGCCCUGUGAUGUUUCGUUAACUGAUGUGGUCAAAAGCUUUGUGAUUUCAAGGUAAAUAGUCAAUGCAAUAUGUUACACGCUAUGUACAUACAUUUUCUAAUAUUAUAAAUCUGAUAAAUCUGAAUAGCACAAAAAAAUCAUACAUUUUUUUGUGAUCUAUGCAAUGACAUGCAGGUUUACUUUUAUCGCAAGUGCAGUGGGGGUUGUAGCCAAGUUUGACAGAUAGCUUAUACCAACAAUUGAGGGCGGCACAAUGUCUGUCCCCUCUGCAAUACAGAACCACUACUUUACAUUGCAAAUCAACACACUGGCCCGGUUUUGUGUCCUCAGAGAAUAUAUUAUCAGGUGCAUUCUAUCAAACCCUAUAUGCAUCUCUUAUGUGUAGUGAUGCGUUUUUUAAUUUAACAGCUCAAAUACAGUUGCCACAUGCCCUGCAUAUUUGCUCAAAUAUUAACCCAAAUGUUCUCGUUCAGUUCAAUAACCUGGUGCUAGAUCUUUGUUUCAUAUAUGAACGUCUAUGUGAUGUACAGAGGUUAGUGGUGAGGGGUCUGAAAAUGGUGAGUCUGACUUUGGUAAAGAUACUGUUUAUACUGUUCAGAUGUUUGGAGUAAGAGGAGUUUUCUGUCUCUGUGAUACUCUUGCUUAGCUGUGAAAGAAACCAUCAGUAUGAUUUAUUUUCCCUGAUAUAUGCAGUUGUCUGUAACAUGAAUUUGUGCAGUUUGUUAUUUGUAAAAGCGGAUAUAAAUACAUAACAUGUGCCUACAGUUCUUGAAGGUCAAAGCAUAUGCGCUGGCAUCCUACGCUUGACCUUUCGUCAUUUUUCCAGGGUCACCGAGUUUAAGGUCACACUUUGAUUCUUUUAGCAGCACAAUAUGCAGCCGUCUAUGUUGCAGUUCCCUUUUCUGAGCUGAACUCAACAAUGAACUAGGUGUUCAGAUUCACUACAAUAAGGAAAGAGAUGAAUAGAUAAAGAAAGAGAGCAAGAUAUACACUGAACAUGAAGGAAAGCUAGAGAUAUUUGCCAAAGAUUGCAGCAUUCUUAUAUAAAUAAUUACAAUAAUUGUUCAUUGUCCUAGUGUAAAAAAAUACAAUACAGACGUGCACAACACACACAAAGACCAAAGUUUAAUAUUGUAAUUCCAUCUGAUAACUUAGUGUGCUUUAGACCUGCUGCAGUGAUGGCUAGUCCUACAUGUUCCUGCAUGUUCUCGUUCUGGAUAACAUUUAAUUUAACGUAAGAAAACAUUCAAACAACCAAUAAACCAAACACGUUUACAAUACGCUAAUCAUGCAACCACACCGAUCGAGACUUAGCUUAUUUUUAGUCCAUUUUAUCAAAAAGAGAUUUUCUCAGAGCACACGAUGAUGCUGUACCGCUGUCACCUUUGGA